UACGUAGGGGGCAAGCGUUGUCCGGAAUUAUUGGGCGUAAAGAGCGUGUAGGCGGUCCGGUAAGUCAGCUGUGAAAGUCAAGGGCUCAACUCUUGAAUGCCGGUUGAUACUGUCGGGCUAGAGUCCGGAAGAGGCGAGUGGAAUUCCCGGUGUAGCGGUGAAAUGCGCAGAUAUCGGGAGGAACACCAAUGGCGAAGGCAGCUCGCUGGGACGGUACUGACGCUGAGACGCGAAAGCGUGGGGAGCAAACAGG
rnacentral:rRNA from 1 species